rnacentral:lncRNA from 1 species
UUCUCCAUCCAUCAUUCGUUCAAUCCAUCCCUCGUACCAAACAAAUGGUUAUUCUCUUCAAAUUCUAUUUGAUCUCUAUAGUAAAGGUGGGGCCCUUCGCACAAACGAAAAAAAUACCAGCCACAGAGGCCGUCCAAUAAAAGAAAAAACAUUCACAACAUGCUUUGGCAUUUAUGACAUAUCCACUGCUUUAAAAUUCUUGGGAUGUCGAGCUAUGUUUCAACGUCCAUGCUC